rnacentral:rRNA from 1 species
UACGUAGGGGGCAAGCGUUAUCCGGAUUUACUGGGUGUAAAGGGAGCGUAGACGGCGAUGCAAGUCUGAAGUGAAAGCCCGGGGCUCAACCCCGGGACUGCUUUGGAAACUGUAUGGCUGGAGUGCUGGAGAGGCAAGCGGAAUUCCUAGUGUAGCGGUGAAAUGCGUAGAUAUUAGGAAGAACACCAGUGGCGAAGGCGGCUUGCUGGACAGUAACUGACGUUGAGACUCGAAAGCGUGGGGAGCAAACAGG